rnacentral:rRNA from 1 species
UUUAUGAAGAGUUUGAUCCUGGCUCAGGAUGAACGCUGGCGGCGUGCCUAAUACAUGCAAGUCGAGCGAACGGACGAGAAGCUUGCUUCUCUGAUGUUAGCGGCGGACGGGUGAGUAA